GUUGUACCUAAUUUUGUUAUUCAAAAGAGUCGCCUGCAGAUGGUCAUUCCAUCACCUAAUGGAACUUGAGAAAUUUGAAUUCGGGUAUCUGCAGCAAGGGAUUUGUUUAACUCCAGUAAGUAACUUCUUUCUGAUCUCAUCAACUCGUGAACGCUCUCCUCUGGCAUCACAAGUGUUCCAUACCAUAGUGUGUUAUCAUACACUAUCAAGCCUCCAACUUUCACCAGCUGCAUUAGUCUCUCGUGAUAGUUUCCGUAGUUAGUCUUAUCCGCGUCCACAA
rnacentral:misc_RNA from 1 species